AUCGUCGUGGAGCAGUCCGGUAGCUCGUCGGGCUCAUAACCCGAAGGUCGCAGGUUCAAAUCCUGUCCCCGCAAUCA
rnacentral:tRNA from 1 species